CAGCCGCCGCGGUAAAACGUAGGGUGCAAGCGUUAAUCGGAAUUACUGGGCGUAAAGCGUGCGCAGGCGGUUAUAUAAGACAGAUGUGAAAUCCCCGGGCUCAACCUGGGAACUGCAUUUGUGACUGUAUAGCUAGAGUACGGCAGAGGGGGAUGGAAUUCCGCGUGUAGCAGUGAAAUGCGUAGAUAUGCGGAGGAACACCGAUGGCGAAGGCAAUCCCCUGGGCCUGUACUGACGCUCAUGCACGAAAGCGUGGGGAGCAAACAGGAUUAGAUACCCCAGUAGUCCCUGUCUCUUAUAC
rnacentral:rRNA from 1 species